rnacentral:lncRNA from 1 species
UAAGUCUCAUAAAACAAAAUUGUCAUUCAUCUCAAACAAUCAACAUCUUUACAUGCAAAUGCCUUUAAAAGGACUUUUCCAAGGCUUGUAAUGAGGUUGAGCUAACAAGAAAGAAUUGGUUUUUCUAGAAUGCAAAAUCCUUGAAUCAAGAGAGCUAACAAAAUAUUCAACAUUUAAGCACCACUCUCACCAAUGUCUCUCAUUCCCAAUUUUUCCCUUUUCUUUUUCUUUUGCAUUGAGCUCUUCUUCAUGCUUUUCUUCUUUUCUUUUCUUUUUCUCAAGAAUUUUCUCUUUUCACAACAAUUGAGCUCAAUGCCUUUCACUAGCUUUUUCAAUUUUCACCCGUACAACCCCAAACUUGAACCUUUUCAUCACAUACAAUUUAGCUCAUCCUAACUCAAGGUAAAGAAUUUCAAAACAAGGGGUCACAUCCUAUUUACGGCUAAGGUUCAAAAAGGGUAUAAUAUUUCAAACACUUUGG